UGAACCACAUGCCUGUCCCACUGAUG
rnacentral:piRNA from 1 species